UACGUAGGGACCAAGCGUUGUUCGGAUUUACUGGGCGUAAAGGGCGCGUAGGCGGCAAUUCAAGUCAUCUGUGAAAUCUCCGGGCUUAACCCGGAACGGUCAGGUGAUACUGUUUUGCUAGAGUGCGGAAGGGGCAAUCGGAAUUCUCGGUGUAGCGGUGAAAUGCGCAGAUAUCGGGAAGAACACCCGUGGCGAAGGCGGCACUCUGGGACGGUACUGGACGCUGAGACGCGAAAGCGUGGGGAGCGAACAGG
rnacentral:rRNA from 1 species